GAGUUUGAUCGUGGCUCAGAUUGAACGCUGGCGGCAUACCUUACACAUGCAAGUCGAACGGCAGCAUGAUCUAGCUUGCUAGAUUGAUGGCGAGUGGCGAACGGGUGAGUAAUACAUCGGAACGUGCCCUGUAGUGGGGGAUAACUAGUCGAAAGAUUAGCUAAUACCGCAUACGACCUGAGGGUGAAAGUGGGGGACCGCAAGGCCUCAUGCUAUAGGAGCGGCCGAUGUCUGAUUAGCUAGUUGGUGGGUAAAGGCCCACCAAGGCGACGAUCAGUAGCUGGUCUGAGAGGACGAUCAGCCACACUGGGACUGAGACACGGCCCAGACUCCUACGGGAGGCAGCAGUGGGGAAUUUUGGACAAUGGGCGAAAGCCUGAUCCAGCAAUGCCGCGUGUGUGAAGAAGGCCUUCGG
rnacentral:rRNA from 1 species